rnacentral:rRNA from 1 species
AUGUACAUUCCUAUAGUGUUAAUGCACCAAAUCUCAUUAUAACUCUGUAGUUAAGCGUGCUUGGGCUAGAGUAGUAUUGGGAUGGGUGACCUCCCAGGAAGUCCUAGUGUUUUACAUU